rnacentral:sRNA from 1 species
GUUUUUAGUAUGUCCACAAUAA